GGAAGCAAGUGGAAACCAACUGUUUGUGUGGUCCUUGUGGAGCUCUUCAACACAGGAACUAUACUGCUAGGCAAGGUAGCAGUUGAUAGCGGCAUGUUUGUAUUCUCAUUGCUUUGUUAUAGAAGCAUUCUGGGUGCCAUUUUUAUCUUGCCAUUUGCCCUGCUCCUCGAAAGUGGGAAGUGGAAAGAAUUGGAUAAGAAGGCUCUUGGUUGGCUCUUCAUCAAUGCUUUUGUCGGGUACUCGUUGCCUAUGGCCAUGUAUUACUACGGGCUACAUGACACAACUGCUUCCUAUGGUGUGAUCUUCUCCGGUUUAACUCCGCUCUUCACUUUCGUCCUUUCAAUAUUGCUUGGCAUGGAGACCUUGCGCCUCAAAUCCAAGGAAGGUAGCGCGAAGGUGGUUGGUGCAUUGGUAUGCUUUGGAGGGGCUUUAUUAAUAAGCCUAUACAAUGGGAAGGAACUGCAUCUCUGGUCUCCAGUUAUAAGAGGUAUCACUAAGAGUUCUAAUGGAGUAGCCGGAGGAUGCCACCAUUUGAGAGGCACCUUACUUUUGUUGGGUGAUUGCAUAUGCUAUGCAUUUUGGUACCCCAUACAGGUGAAAGUUUUAAAGGUGUAUCCGUGGAAACAUUGGUCAUCAGUGUUGACCUGUGCUCUAGGUGGUUUGCAAACAUGUGCCAUAGGAAUAUUUUUGAGAAGAGACAAACUUGCUUGGCAAGUAGGAUGGAACAUUCAACUAUUAACAAUUGUCUACUCAGCUGCACUUGGCACAGCCGCCAAGUAUUGGUUAAAUCUCUAUGCUGUGGAAAAGCGAGGUCCUGUUUUUCCACCAAUGUUCAGCACAUUAUCGAUUGUUUUCACCAUGGUUCUUGGGGCUUUAUUGCUAGGAGAAAGCCUCACAGUUGGGAGCUUGUUGGGUAGUGCUUUGGUUUUCAGUGGUUUGUAUAUGUACCUCUAUGGAAAGGCCAAAGAGAUACAUGUGAACACGAUAUCAUGUUCAAGCAAUGAAAAGCUUCAGGCGCAACCUACCCACAACUCGAAGUGUGAGGAUCGAAGAUUUGGUCCUUAA
rnacentral:rRNA from 1 species